rnacentral:sRNA from 1 species
CAUGCAUGCAUACCUAGUUGAUUGCACAACGUUCAAACUAAAAAUGUUUAUAACGCCCAUAGAAAAAACUCUCAGUAACCCUCCACAUACACAUAUCACAUACAUCGGAAUUCACGAUAUGCGAUUGUAACGUCUCUAAAAAUUACUCUUUUCACAGUCGCGUGACAGGAAAAAAUUCACUGCCACCAAGGCAAACAACGUUAUCGAACUUUCGAUAGACUAAGACCAUGAAUGGUAACAUAGACCACACCCAAAACCGCACCGCAACAGUAUUAAAAUCUUUACAUAUAUAUGUAUUUAUGUAUUUUUGUUACUAUUUGACAUAGAUCUUCUUUUCUUUUAUUGUCGAUGUCGGCUGAUUGUGCGACUAGAAAAAAAACACUCCCA